GGGUUGAUUAAGGGUUAAGGUUAGGGUUAGGUAUAGGGUUAGAUUUUAGGGUUGAUUAAGGGUUAAGGUUAGGGUUAGGUAUAGGGUUAGAUUUUAGGGUUGAUUAAGGGUUAAGGUUAGGGUUAGGUGUAGUGUUAGAUUUUAGGGUUGAUUAAGGGUUAAGGUUAGGGUUAGGUGUAGUGUUAGAUUUUAGGGUUGAUUAAGGGUUAAGGUUAGGGUUAGGUGUAGUGUUAGAUUUUAGGGUUGAUUAAGGGUUAAGGUUAGGGUUAGGUGUAGUGUUAGAUUUUAGGGUUGAUUAAGGGUUAAGGUUAGGUGUAGGGUUAUGUUCUAUUUUGAAUCUUUUACAACAUAUGGUUCAAUAUAUGGUUAAGCUGCAUUUAAUUGACAUUCUGUUGACUGUUAAUUGAAUGUCAGUUAAGCAUCAAC